rnacentral:tRNA from 1 species
GGCCUAAUGGUCUAGUCGUAUGAUUCUUCCUUCGGGUUUAGCUGCCCGCGCCGCUUGGCGCGAAGAUGGAAGAGGUCCUGGGUUCAAUUCCCAGUUAGGCCC